AGAGUUUGAUCCUGGCUCAGAAUCAACGCUGGCGGCGUGCCUCAGACAUGCAAGUCGAACGAUUAAAGCCCCUUCGGGGGUGUAUAAAGUGGCGCACGGGUGAGUAACACGUAGGUAAUCUACCUUUGAGUGGGGAAUAACAAUCGGAAACGAUUGCUAAUACCGCAUAAUGCAGCGGCAUCGCAAGAUGACAGUUGUUAAAGGAGCAAUCCGCUUAAAGAGGAGCCUGCGGCAGAUUAGCUAGUUGGUAAGGUAAUGGCUUACCAAGGCUACGAUCUGUAACCGACCUGAGAGGGUGGUCGGUCACACUGACACUGAAUAACGGGUCAGACUCCUACGGGAGGCAGCAGUCGGGAAUUUUGGGCAAUGGGCGAAAGCCUGACCCAGCAACGCCGCGUGAAGGACGAAGUCUUUCGGGAUGUAAACUUCGUAAGAAUAGGAAGAAUAAAUGACGGUACUAUUUGUAAGGUCCGGCUAACUACGUGCCAGCAGCCGCGGUAAUACGUAGGGACCAAGCGUUGUUCGGAUUUACUGGGCGUAAAGGGCGCGUAGGCGGCAAUUCAAGUCAGUUGUGAAAUCUCCGAGCUUAACUCGGAACGGUCAACUGAUACUGCUUUGCUAGAGUACAGAAGGGGCAAUCGGAAUUCUUGGUGUAGCGGUGAAAUGCGUAGAUAUCAAGAGGAACACCUGAGGUGAAGACGGGUUGCUGGGCUGAUACUGACGCUGAGGCGCGAAGGCUAGGGUAGCAAACGGGAUUAGAUACCCCCGUAGUCC
rnacentral:rRNA from 1 species